UUUUUUUUGUAGUUCGUAAGUGUGACUAUUGGGCCUUUGUGCCAUCGUAUGACAUAUUCCUCCCUCAAACCAGUUUGUUUAUGACAUGGCCACAUUACUGGUAUAAUG
rnacentral:snoRNA from 1 species